GUGGGAGGAAGCUCACUCCAGAGGUCACAAACUGAGUGUCCAUCCCUCCACCCACAACCUCGGGGAAGGUCUGAGACAAGAGCCAAUCACUGCCCUCGCAGGGUGUCACCUGAUCCAGGUGAGUGAGGACCCAGAGAAGCUGGAGCUGAUGGAGGUUCAGGUAGGAGAAAUCGGGUGGUGCAGGAACAGCACUGCGGAUGGAGACGAUCCGCCACCGGCUUGGAAAGAAUCACGGCUGGAAACAGAGUUCAAUGUGUGAGCUGGAGUUCACCCUCCAGAACCCAAUUCAGACUACUCUCCUCUCAC
rnacentral:RNase_P_RNA from 1 species